rnacentral:pre_miRNA from 1 species
GUUGUGUCCUCGAGAGCGCAAAUUGUGUACUCCAGUACACAAUUUGCGCUCUCCAGUGCACAA